rnacentral:rRNA from 1 species
UACGGGGGGGGCAAGCGUUGUUCGGAAUUACUGGGCGUAAAGGGCUCGUAGGCGGCCAACUAAGUCAGACGUGAAAUCCCUCGGCUUAACCGGGGAACUGCAUCUGAUACUGGAUGGCUUGAGUUCGGGAGAGGGAUGCGGAAUUCCAGGUGUAGCGGUGAAAUGCGUAGAUAUCAGGAGGAACACCGAUGGCGAAGGCAGGUCACUGGGCCGCAACUGACGCUGAGGAGCGAAAGCAUGGGGAGCGAACAGG